UUUACAACAGUGUGAAUCCUCAUGUGAUCAGUUAAAGUCCGUUUUCGACUAAAACUUUUCCCACAGUUCACACAUGAAAACGGCUUUUCACCAGUGUGAAUUACCAUGUGAUCAGUUAAAGUCCGUUUUAGACUAAAACUUUUCCCACAGGUCACACAUGAAAACGGCUUUUCAGCAGUGUGAAUCAUCAUGUGCUGAAUUAAUUGCUGUUUUUGCCUGAAAC